GGGGCACUCAACGGUGUAAGUUCGGAGGCAGGUUGCCUUUAGAGAUUUGCAUAUCUCUGACACCGAUCACACCUUCUGACAUAUUCGACGGAGUCGUGGUACAUGGUAGGCCAGUAAUAGCCUUGUCGGAGCAGUUUGUGGGAUAAAGAUCUGGCCCCUAGGUGACUUCCACAGACUCCCUCAUGUACCUCCCUCAAGGCGAAGUCGACUUCAAAAGGUCGGAGAUAUUUCAGGAGGGGCAAAGAGUAUGACCUCUUGUAUAGCUUGCCUUCGUAAAGGAUAUAUCGGGAGGCCUGGUUCCUAAGCUUUCGAGCUUCUUUUGCAUCAGGAGGAAGAACCCCAUCCUUGAGGUAUGCAACCAGUGGGUCGAUCCAGCUGGG
rnacentral:lncRNA from 1 species